CAAAGGAGCAAUCCGCUGAAAGAUGGGCUCGCGUCCGAUUAGGUAGUUGGUGAGGUAACGGCCCACCAAGCCGACGAUCGGUAGCCGGACUGAGAGGUUGGACGGCCACAUUGGGACUGAGACACGGCCCAGACUCCUACGGGAGGCAGCAGUAAGGGAUAUUGGUCAAUGGGGGAAACCCUGAACCAGCAACGCCGCGUGAGGGAAGACGGUUUUCGGAUUGUAAACCUCUGUCCUCUGUGAAGAUGAUGACGGUAGCAGAGGAGGAAGCUCCGGCUAACUACGUGCCAGCAGCCGCGGUAAUACGUAGGGAGCGAGCGUUGUCCGGAUUUACUGGGUGUAAAGGGUGCGUAGGCGGCUGUGCAAGUCAGUAGUGAAAUCCAUGGGCUUAACCCAUGAACUGCUAUUGAAACUGCACAGCUUGAGUGAAGUAGAGGUAGGCGGAAUUCCCGGUGUAGCGGUGAAAUGCGUAGAGAUCGGGAGGAACACCAGUGGCGAAGGCGGCCUACUGGGCUUUAACUGACGCUGAGGCACGAAAGCGUGGGUAGCAAACAGGAUUAGAUACCCUGGUAGUCCACGCUGUAA
rnacentral:rRNA from 1 species